rnacentral:rRNA from 1 species
AGUCACUGACAUUAGAUACCCCUGUAGUCCAGGGUGUAAACGCUGCAGACUUGGUGUUGGAAGUCCUUUGGGGGCAUUCAGUGCCGGAGAGAAGUUGUUAAGUCUGCUACUUGGGAGUACGUCCGCAAGGAUGAAACUUAAAGGAAUUGGCGGGGGAGCACCGCAACGGGAGGAGCGUGCGGUUUAAUUGGAUUCAACGCCGAAAAACUCACCAGCAGCGACUGUUACAUGAAAGUCAGGUUGAUGACCUUACUAGAUUUUCAG